CCUACGGGAGGCAGCAGUGGGGAAUAUUGCACAAUGGGGGAAACCCUGAUGCAGCGACGCCGCGUGAGUGAAGAAGUAUUUCGGUAUGUAAAGCUCUAUCAGCAGGGAAGAAAAUGACGGUACCUGAUUAAGAAGCUCCGGCUAACUACGUGCCAGCAGCCGCGGUAAUACGUAGGGGGCAAGCGUUAUCCGGAUUUACUGGGGGUAAAGGGAGCGUAGGCGGCAGCACAAGUCUGUAGUGAAAUGCCGGGGCUUAACCCCGGAACUGCUUUGGAAACCGUGCAUCUGGAGUGCAGGAGAGGUAGGUGGAAUUCCUGGUGUAGCGGUGAAAUGCGUAGAUAUUAGGAGGAACACCAGUGGCGAAGGCGGCUUACUGGACUGUAACUGACGUUGAGGCUCGAAAGCGUGGGGAGCAAACAGGAUUAGAUACCCCUGUAGUC
rnacentral:rRNA from 1 species